AGUCAUAUGCUUGUCUCAAAGAUUAAGCCAUGCAUGUCUCAGUACAAGCCACAUUAAGGUGAAACCGCGAAAGGCUCAUUAAAUCAGUUAUGGUUCCUUAGAUCGUACCCACAUUUACUUGGAUAACUGUGGUAAUUCUAGAGCUAAUACAUGCAAACAGAGUUCCAACCGGAGACGGAAGGAAUGCUUUUAUUAGAUCAAAACCAAUCGGCGGCGGCUUCGGUCGUUCGCCGGCACACUUGGUGACUCUGAAUAACUUUCUGCUGAUCGCACGGUCUUGCACCGGCGACGCAUCUUUCAAAUGUCUGCCUUAUCAACUGUCGAUGGUAGGUUCUGCGCCUACCAUGGUUGUAACGGGUAACGGGGAAUCAGGGUUCGAUUCCGGAGAGGGAGCCUGAGAAACGGCUACCACAUCCAAGGAAGGCAGCAGGCGCGCAAAUUACCCACUCCCGGCACGGGGAGGUAGUGACGAAAAAUAACGAUACGGGACUCAUCCGAGGCCCCGUAAUCGGAAUGAGUACACUUUAAAUCCUUUAACGAGGAUCAAUUGGAGGGCAAGUCUGGUGCCAGCAGCCGCGGUAAUUCCAGCUCCAAUAGCGUAUAUUAAAGUUGUUGCGGUUAAAAAGCUCGUAGUUGAAUCUGUGUCCCGUGCUGUCGGUUCACCGCCCGCGGUGUUAAACUGGCACGUUCACGGGACGUCCUGCCGGUGGAUUGGUUAUUGUUUAUCGUGUUAUGUGUUAUCAUAUAUCGGGUGUAUUCACUCUCACGGGUGUACAUUUCGGUUUUGAUACAUGUACCGGUAUAACAGUACCAUCCGACUUUUAAUCCUGUCGCGGUGCUCUUAAUUGAGUGUCGAGGCGGGCCGGCACGUUUACUUUGAACAAAUUAGAGUGCUCAAAGCAGGCUAAAAUUUCGCCUGAAUAUUGUGUGCAUGGAAUAAUGGAACAGGACCUCGGUUCUAUUUUGUUGGUUUUCGGAACCCCGAGGUAAUGAUUAAUAGGGACAGAUGGGGGCAUUCGUAUUGCGACGUUAGAGGUGAAAUUCUUGGAUCGUCGCAAGACGGACAGAAGCGAAAGCAUUUGCCAAAAAUGUUUUCAUUAAUCAAGAACGAAAGUCAGAGGUUCGAAGGCGAUCAGAUACCGCCCUAGUUCUGACCAUAAACGAUGCCAGCUAGCGAUCCGCCGACGUUCCUCCGAUGACUCGGCGGGCAGCUUCCGGGAAACCAAAGCUUUUGGGUUCCGGGGGAAGUAUGGUUGCAAAGCUGAAACUUAAAGGAAUUGACGGAAGGGCACCACCAGGAGUGGAGCCUGCGGCUUAAUUUGACUCAACACGGGAAACCUCACCAGGCCCAGACACCGGAAGGAUUGACAGAUUGAGAGCUCUUUCUUGAUUCGGUGGGUGGUGGUGCAUGGCCGUUCUUAGUUGGUGGAGCGAUUUGUCUGGUUAAUUCCGAUAACGAACGAGACUCUAGCCUGCUAACUAGGCGUACUUUACCGGUAUCUCGAAGGCUCACAUCUCCCUUAUCGGUGUGUACGUGUUCGUGGGGUGCUUUCUACCGUUCGCGGUUUGAUUGUAUUUUGCGGCCGUACAUUUCCGUUUGUGGAGUUUGUGGUUUUUACUACCGGCGUACAAUUGAAUCUUCUUAGAGGGACAGGCGGCUCCUAGCCGCACGAGAUUGAGCAAUAACAGGUCUGUAAUGCCCUUAGAUGUUCUGGGCCGCACGCGCGCUACACUGAAGGAAUCAGCGUGUCCUCCCUGGCCGAACGGUCCGGGUAACCCGCUGAACCUCCUUCGUGCUAGGGAUUGGGGCUUGCAAUUGUUCCCCAUGAACGAGGAAUUCCCAGUAAGCGCGAGUCAUAAGCUCGCGUUGAUUACGUCCCUGCCCUUUGUACACACCGCCCGUCGCUACUACCGAUUGAAUGAUUUAGUGAGGUCUUCGGACCGGUACGCGAUG
rnacentral:rRNA from 1 species